rnacentral:rRNA from 1 species
CCUACGGGAGGCAGCAGUGGGGAAUAUUGGACAAUGGGCGAAAGCCUGAUCCAGCCAUGCCGCGUGUGUGAAGAAGGCCUUCGGGUUGUAAAGCACUUUCAGUGGGGAAGAAAGCCUUGGGGCUAAUACCCUCGAGGAAGGACAUCACCCACAGAAGAAGCACCGGCUAACUCCGUGCCAGCAGCCGCGGUAAUACGGAGGGUGCGAGCGUUAAUCGGAAUUACUAGGCGUAAAGCGCGCGUAGGCGGUCUGAUAAGCCGGUUGUGAAAGCCCCGGGCUCAACCUGGGAACGGCAUCCGGAACUGUCAGGCUAGAGUGCAGGAGAGGAAGGUAGAAUUCCCGGUGUAGCGGUGAAAUGCGUAGGGAUCGGGAGGAAUACCAGUGGCGAAGGCGGCCUUCUGGACUGACCCUGACGCUGAGGUGCGAAAGCGUGGGUAGCAAACAGGAUUAGAUACCCCAGUAGUC